UCUUGUGUUAUGGAGUAACCUUUUAGGGAAGAUAAGCUAGUGGAGCGUGCUAAAGCACUUAAAGUAAGUGCUGGAACAGAUCCCGGAGCAGACCUUGGUCCAGUGAUUAGCAAACAGGCAAAGGAACGGAUAUGCAGAUUGAUUCAAAGUGGUGUUGACAAUGGUGCCAAACUAUUGCUUGAUGGGAGAAAUAUCGUGGUUCCAGGAUAUGAGCAUGGGAACUUUAUAGGUUCCACCAUCUUGUUUGAUGUCGUUGCUCAUAUGGAGUGUUACAAGGUGGAAAUCUUUGGCCCAGUUCUUCUUUGCUUGCAGGCUAACAGCUUAGAAUAGGCCAUAAACUUUGUCAACAGAAACAAAUAUGGAAAUGGAGCUUCCAUACUCACCACCUCUGGUGUAGUCGCAAGGAAAUUUCAAACUGAGAUUGAGGCCGGACAGGUCGGCAUCAAUGUUCCUAUUCCAGUUCCGUUGCCCUUUUUCUCGUUGACUGGCUCCAAGGCAUCUUGUGCGGGCGAUCUCAAUUUCUACAGCAAGGCUUUGGUUCAUUUUUACACUCAGGUCAAGACUGUAACUCAACAAUGGAAGGAUUUACCGAGAUGCUCUGGAGUUUCUCUGGCAAUGCCUACUUCCCUAAAGUGAAAAUUUAAAAU